AUGCUUGCUUCAGCAGCACAUAUAUUAAAGUUGGAAUGAUAUGGAGAAUAACAGCAUAGCCUCUAUGCAAGAAUGACAGUGAAUUCGUGAAGCAUUCCAUAUUUUU
ensembl:snRNA U6 U6 spliceosomal RNA